rnacentral:rRNA from 1 species
AAAUUGAAGAGUUUGAUCAUGGCUCAGAUUGAACGCUGGCGGCAGGCCUAACACAUGCAAGUCGAGCGGUAGCACAGAGGAGCUUGCUCCU